rnacentral:rRNA from 1 species
CCCUUAGAUGUUCUGGGCCACACACGUGCUACACUGGUGCGCGCAGCGAGCUUCAUACCCUGUGCCGAGAGGCUCGGGCAAUCUGCAAAUGCGUACCGUGCUUGGGAUCGGCCGUUGCAAUUGUUGGCCGUGAACGAGGAAUUCCUAGUAAACGCAAGUCAUCAACUUGCAUUGAUUACGUCCCUGCCCUUUGUACACACCGCCCGUCGCUCCUACCGAUUGAACGAUGUGAUGAAAUCUUCGGAGGCACGCUUUGCGUCCAGUUCUCUGGACAAAAAGCGAGUCAAAGUUGUUUGAAUCCCAUCGUUUAGAGGAAGGAGAAGUCGUAACA